GGAGAGAUGGCUGAGUGGUUGAAGGCACCGGUUUCGAAAACCGGCAUACGGGCAACUGUAUCGGGAGUUCGAAUCUCCCUCUCUCCG
rnacentral:tRNA from 1 species